AUAAUGAUACUUCCGUAGCUAAAGCGCGGUCGGCGGAGUACCCGGCGGGGGUGAGAGUCCCAUGA
rnacentral:ncRNA from 1 species